ACAGAGGAUUCCCAGCCGCCCACCCUGGGACAGGAGACCAUGGAUGCCGAGAGAGAUGCAUCAACAACCAGCAGUGAGGUGACGGAUGAGCCCCCAACUCUAUUUAAAGAAGAUGUGUUGUCUCUCUCUACUCAGGAGGAAGAGGAGGUGAUUGGAGCCCCACCGCUUAAAAGAGUCUGCACUGAGCAAACAUCAACUCUCAGUUAGCACCACUAUGCUGAACAUUGCUGGUCAAAAGUAUAGAAGAAUUUCUGAAAGAGACUAAACUGUACAUUUCAGAGACUUUUUAGAACCUGCCAAAUGCCUGAAUUUCACUUUUACAGUAAAUGAUCAAGAA